rnacentral:lncRNA from 1 species
AUGGAAAGGCCAGGAUCAACAUCUCACAACGGCAACUUGUCAACAGUGCUCUUCCCAACUCUGAUCAAUGACGCAGCAUUGGCACACAUUUAUCUAUAUGGUGGUUUAGGCGCUAAGCUGUGUCCCACUCUAGCGAUUGUAUGGACUAUAGCCUGCCAGGCUCCUCUGUCCAUGGGAUUCUCCAGAACCUAUAGAGGCAAGGCACUGAACCUAAAGAAGACGACAAUGAGGGGAUGCGGGAGUCCAAGAGCUGCCUCAUCACAUAGAACUGAAUCCUAUUCAGAUAUCGGCAACCAACUCUGGAGACCCCUGUCCUUCAGACCUAGGCCUCAAGGCAGAAAUUAUCCGUAAAUGGAGAGGAAAGCUGUUUAAACUGAAGACAACUAGAGGUCCUAUAGCAACAAAUAUUUGUCAAAGAACAUUCCUAAUGACCAUAUCCCUUCUUUAAUAUGUCAUCUUGAGCUGGGGAAGAACGUCUCAAACCCGAAGCUGAGUUACCUCUCACUGGAAGUUCCUCUGGCACUAAGCCAAAACAAGAACUGCUUCAUGGACUGGGUCCUGAGUCUCUGUAAAUACUACCUCCUUCAGCUAGAGGUAUUUCAGGCAGCCUCAUGGCUCCCAGGUAUAGUUACAGACUGUUAAAGUUCUUUUUUAAAUUAAAAAAAAUUAUCCACAUGGAUUUUCUUUCAUUUUUUCAGGUUCUUAAGGUUGUUUUCAUCAUAAUUACUGAGACGUUCAGAGAACACUUCAACUACUGAUACAGCCUAGUAGGUAAGAGGUCUCAGCAGGCUACAGAUAUGCAGACCAAAACAAAGAAAAGUCAGGUGAGCUUGUGCAAAGAUUCAAUGAGUGAAGUAAAGGCAACAGCUUUCAAUAUGUAUUCAUCCAAUAAACAUUUACUGAAAACACUUUGGUCAAUAAAUGCAUUUUACUAGUGAGUAGCAGUACAAAGAUGAGGAAACCACUGUUCCCCCAUCGCAUGCUGACUCUGGUAGGGGAAAUCGACUUGUCAGGGAAUCACUGUAACACAUGGA